GCUCAGCUGCCCAGCCCUGACCGCAUGGCCCCGCCCCACACCUCCCUUCCAGGCCUGGCGCUCUCCACACAGCCCAGGGGUCUUUGUCCCAGCCCUCGCUGCCCAGCCGCGUUGGCCAUGCUUGCACAGUGGUGGUGCCCCCAGCCACGUCCAUGUGGGCUCGCUCCUCAGCUGGUGUGGCCUCCCUGAACUGUGGCCUGAUGAAAAAGCCAGAGGACACCCUCUGGGAGGCCCCGUCUGAGACCCAUGAGGUUGGCGAGGAGAAUGGUGACAUACCCCAGGAACAGGGAGACUGGAAGGGCCACCUCUGUGUGGAGUAAGGUACCCGCUUCUCCUUCCCAGCCCCCGUGGGGAUCCCUAGGUGUGUGUGUGUGUGCGUGUGUGUGUGUGCAUGCACGCGUGUUGCUUAAGGUGCAAGGAUUGUGGAGCUUCCGCUGACCGUGUGGAGGGCGAGACUGGCGGCCCCGGCCAGGAUGAGCUUGAGGUGGGGGGGUGGCGUCCGAGAAGCAGGCCGCAGCUGGAGUUUGAAGCCACGGUUGACAUCACUGCUGGGGGAGAGGAAAAGGAAGUGUCUGGGCUCCCAGGUUGCUGGUCUGAGCACUCCCGUGGGUUAAUGCCCUUUACGCAGGGGGGGCAGGUCUGCGGCUGGAGGCCAUGGUGUUGAGGGACAUCCCUGUGGGGCAGGGAGGGAAGCGUUCAGGGGGCAGGCCCCCCAGCAGUGGGGGAGUUCCCUAUGGGGGACUAGGAAGGUGGGCAGGACCCCAGAGCAGGUGCUGGGGUAAAAGCCAGGGGUUCCAAGGAGGGCAGUGGGCUACAACCACAGGCUGUAGCCCGUGUCUCCAGAAAAGGGAAAGCCCACCAUGAAUCACGGGCCGCCAGCUCUCUGAGGAAGGGCCGCCAAGGAAGAAGUGGUUGAUGGUCCUUGGAAGGGGGAGGGGAGGAGGAGUUUAGGUACAGGGCAAGGGGUGCACAGGUUGAGGAGGCUCCCCAAAUGGGGAGGUGGUGGUGGGGUGGUGUCCCCCCCCAUGGGCCCCCUUCCCAACGCCCUGGCCUGAACCUUGAACCCCCUCAUCUGGACAGUGAAUCUGCGUCCUAAAAUCUCCCAGUACUCAGCAAAUUGACUGAAAAGUUAGAACUACCGAAAAAUACCCAGGCAGCCUUUAGGCAUGGAGAGAGCUUGAAACCGCAUGCCUUCUGCAGUGCCCGCUUCUGCGUCCAUCCCAGAAACAGGGUGGGCUUCAUCCUGGGAAGUGUCGCACUGCCCCAGGCUGGGAGGGAAGCCGACCAAAAGGUGGGGGCUGACUUCCUCCCUGCGAUGGGGACAGAGGACAAGCAUGGCUGGGGAGUGGGCAGGCAGGCAUGGCAUGGGCAGCAAGGCCGCUGGGGUCCAGGGUCUCGGAAGACAUCCAGGUCCCAAGCUGUCCCACGAAGGAUAGGGAUACGCCCCUCACAAAGCAGAGUGACAAUUAGUACGGCCUGGGACCCCGCAGAGCCUGGCUGGUCUGGCUGGGACCUGCUUGCUCCCCUUUCCAGACGAACAAGAAGAAAGGGGACAUUGCAUGCAGCGCCCUUCCCUGCUCUGAGGCGGUCAGCAGGUCUCAGGCUCUCUCCUCACUGCCCGGGUCUCUAGAAAAUACCUGGAUAACCUUCACCGAAUGUCCACAGCCUCAACUUGAUGAAUUUGUGGCAGGGGCAGUGCUGGGUCGUGGUCGUGGGCUGGCCCUCGGGAGGACACAAACGACAGCCCCAGAACACACAUCCCUUCCUACUUGGGGUGUCUACAGCAACCUCUGCUCCCUGCUCCAGGCUGGCCUCCCUCAUGGGCAUAGACAGGUGCUAGGGCGCAAGGGACACCAUGCGGCCAGCCCGGGCAAGCCUGCUGUGGGACACUGUCCGCCCUGCCCCCAGAGCACCCCAACGCCCCCACCCAGGAAUGUCCCCAAAGGGCCCCCCACCUGGGGAGAUCUCUGUCAGUCCUGGGGAGGUGUGUUAUUCCUCCUGGAGCUUGAGGAGAGACCCACCUGGCUGAAGGGAAGGGAACGGACAGAGAAGAAUGGACAUGGGGGGGUGCCCCGGGGGGCACAGUCGGUGAAGCGUCUCACUCUUGAUUUUGGCUCAGGUCGUGAUCUCAGGGUUGUGGGGUUGGGCUCUACGCUCAGCGGGGACUCUGCUUGGGAUUCUCUCCCCCUCUGCCCCUCCACCCACUUGCGUUUUCAAAAUAAAUAAGAUCUUAAAUCAAAAUAAAACAAAGAAUGGACAUAGGGUGGAGGCACUGCCAUGUCCGCGGCUGGGGGUGGCCCAGGUGAUGUCCUCGCCAGACUGAUGAUGGCCCAAGACUGUCCCUCUCUGCUCGUCCUACUGACGCCCACUCUGUCUGCUGGGUGGACCCUCUUCUCUCCCAGGGACUCUCAGCGGCGGUACUGUUCGUAUCUGGGGCCCGAUCAUCCUUGGUUGUUGGGGGCAGCCCUGUGUUCUGGGGGAUGGAAAGCAGCACCCCCAACUUCUAUCCGCUCGAUGCCCAAGCUCCUGUGGAAGGCACAGUGCCCCCUAAAAAGAUGUCCACGUCUUCACCCCAAGCCUGCGAAUGUGCCCACGGGAGCCCGGGACCGUGCGGCCAUGACGACGGAGUAGCAGCCCGCAGCACCCGGGGGCAGACGGAAGAGAAGCCCAGAGGACAUGGCACGGGGCAGACGGAAGCUGUGCUGCUGGCUUGGAAGCUGGGGGAAGCGGCCAUGUGCCGAGGCAUGCGGCACCUCCAAAAACUGGAAAAGGCUGGGAGCACGUUCUCCCCACAAGCCCCCAGAAGCCAAGGCAGCCCUGCCCACAGCCUGAUCUUAGGUUGCCGAGGCCCGUCUUGGAUUUCUGGAGAGCCUCCGGUCAGGGAAUCGGAGGGCGUCAAGUCUAGGGCAGCAGUAGAAACCAACACUCCCCAGGUGGUGAGGGACACCUGGCCGGGACGCUGCACUCUACGGAACGGGGCAUGGCCACUGGGCUGGUCCUGAGGCCUUCGUAACCAUGGUAACCACGGAGGAGGCAGCGGAGGGUGCUGGGGGCCCCAGCCCUCCACAGGCCCCUCUCCUCUGCCCCGUGGCAGGAGUGCUGGGUGCUGGGCCCCGGGCGGCUGGCUCCCAGCAGGGGAGAGGCGCCAAGACCAUGUGGGAGGCAGAGGGCUGGCCAUCCGGGCAUCGU